AAACCAGCACCUCAAGUGGUCAGGAGGAUUAUUGGGCCUAAAGCAUCCGUAGCCUGUUCUAUAAGUUUCCGGUUAAAUCCACUAGCUCAACUAGUGGGCUGCCGAAAAUACUGUAGAACUAGGGAGUGGGAGAGGUAGACGGUAUUCGGUAGGAAGGGGUAAAAUCCUUUGAUCUAUUGAGGACCACCUGUGGCGAAGGCGGUCUACCAGAACACGUUCGACGGUGAGGGAUGAAAGCUGGGGGAGCAAACCGGAUUAGAAACCCGGGUAGUCC
rnacentral:rRNA from 1 species